rnacentral:rRNA from 1 species
AACGAACGCUGGCGGUGUGCCUCAUACAUGCAAGUCGUACGCGAAUCCUGCCGCAAGGCAGGGUUUGAGUGGCAAACGGGUGCGUAACACGUAGGUAAUCUUCCUUUGAGUUGGGGAUAAGCCCUCGAAAGGGGGUCUAAUACCGAAUAACACUUCGGGCCGGCAUCGGCCUGAAAUUAAAGAUGGCCUCUGCUUGCAAGCUAUCGCUCGGAGAUGAGCCUGCGGCCGAUUAGUUAGUUGGCGGGAUAAAAGCCCACCAAGACUUCGAUCGGUAGCCGGUCUGAGAGGAUGUCCGGCCACACUGGGACUGAGAUACGGCCCAGACUCCUACGGGAGGCAGCAGUA